rfam:Desulfotomaculum gibsoniae DSM 7213, complete genome.
AUUAACCUUCAGGGACUGGUGAAAUUCCGUACCGGCGGUAAGGUCAUAUUCUAAGCCCGCGAGCCCUUAAGGGCUGAUCCGGUGUAAUUCCGGAGCCGACAGUAAAGUCUGGAUGGGAGAAGGUUGUU